rnacentral:lncRNA from 1 species
AUAGAGAGAAAAAUGUGACUUUAUUACCUUCACAUUCCCCCUUCUUUCAAUAAGAUAGGAAUUUUAUACUACUCUAAAUAAUUACUAACAACUCUCCUGAGAUUUUAUUGGUACUGAGAUAGUCAAUUCUGUACACACAACAUAUCGUUGAAAAUUUCUAAAUUCUAAAUUUCUAAUCAGCAGUGUAGGUCAUUCAAUGCAAAUCAAUAAAUUUUCUUAACAUAACAUAAUUUCUCAUCAGUCCAUGAGUACAGUAGAUAACAAAACAUAAUCCAAGUAUUCCGGCAAUUAGUACGAAAAGCGGGAAAACGCAAUGCAAACGCUCCAUUUGAAUACUUUUAGGGCAAAGCUAAAGCAAAAACAAAUAAACCUAAUCGAAGAGCGGAACCAAUUUUCCAAAAAAAAUGCAGCCGCAUAAAAAAGGGAAAAAGCACUACCGCAUAUGAAAAACAUAUUUAAAAUAUCUUUUCAUCUUGUAGAACCAAUUCAAUCGGGAAUAUAGUGCCCGGAUUAAAACGAUUCGAUACUUCCCACAAACGGACAACACAAACUUUUAACUUCCAUUGCAUCUUCAAAAUUGUUAUAUCCUUGAUGAAAUCAAUGUGAGUAGCCAUCUUUUGCAUAGGACAUAAGUUUUCUUGAAAUCUUGAUAGAAGAAGGAACAUUAGAAUUGAAGAACGUGUAGUUGUUGAAGAAAUAUAUAUUUGCAUUUUUGAACAGUUGCUACCCAGUAUACAAAAUCGUGGGUUACACAGUUGAAGCUAUAAAAUCGUGGGUUACACAGUUGAAGCUAUAAAAUCGUGGGUUACACAGUUGAAGCUAUCGUGCUUUUGCAGAGGAAAUUUAGGGUAAGUUGAAUAGAAGUUGGAACGGAUUAGAAGUGGAAGGUUUUGAAGGCUACUCGUAUUUUUGAGUAAGCCGUCUCAUUUUAACAAAUAAAAUAAUUUAAUAAUUUAAAGAAAUUAAAAAAAUAGAAAAUUAAAGAGAAGUUGGAACGGAUUAGAAGUGAAC